GGGGAGAUGGCUCAGUGGUUAAGAGCCCCGGCUGCUCUUGCAGAGGACCUGGGUUCAAUUCCCAGCAUCCACA
rfam:Mesocricetus auratus contig050635, whole genome shotgun sequence.